UAUCUUAGUAUUUCUGUUUGAUGAUAAAUUGUACUGCAAGUACAUAAUCGCAAAACAUGCAGCACUGGGAAGUGUUCCUAUUACGUGAAACUGACAGAAACAUUUCAGCUUGAUCAGCAAUUGGCCCCGGUAGUGGGAAAAGAAUUAAGCAUCUGUAGACACAAACAGCUAGAGAAAAAAAGGAUUACACUCGUCCCCUGCGUACGAACAACCUGUUACGAGAUUACGUUGUUACGUUGGAAACGCACCACGUGUUCUCUAUAUUAACCUCGUCAAUUAAACUCCGUCUUCUUUUUUUUAUUGUUGACAGAUUGCUCCCUGGAAAUUUUAAACAUUCAUCUAAGCACAAACUAACAUAUUUAAAAGAUGAAAAUAUCCUGCAAAGUUUAUUCUGUUAUGAAAAAAAUAAUAACCAUACAACUAACCAGCCACUGACAGAAGAUAAAUCUGCUCAGAGAAAUCCGGCGGAGUGAAUAGCUCCAUCUCAUGCCUCCAGGCCGGGAGGUGUGAUGUUCCCAUCCUGGCCAUGUGCAUGUUGCUGUGGGGAUUUUUCUGGGUUUUCAUCUCCAACCCAAAAACACACAGGUAGCUGAAUUAGUGUCUCUGUGCUCAUGUUUCUGUGAGUUUCUGUCCAAGGCAUCCCCUGUCUAGGGCCAGGAGGUGUUCUGGGGAGGCGACAGGGGCAUUUUACCCCAAUGACAACAUGCAUGCCCCCCCCAUGACCUCCCUAAAUGCACAUGCUGCUUGAGUCUGAAAUAAAUAUAUUAAUAUUACUAUUUGCAUUUAUAUGUGUGGAACAAAAUUUUGUGUUCUGGGAAAAGACAGAACACAAACAUAAGCAAAUAUUCUGGACGGACUCUUGCUGCGGGUUCUCCGGGUGGUCGAGUCGCUCCACUCGGUUGAAAAGCGAAGUUAACAACAGAAAAAAAACAUAUUCAAGGUUGUGGAUUCAAGACAGACUAAACAAGAAAUCGGAGUGAGUCACAUAUUUGUGAAAAAUGCAACUGUUGCAUUGGCGAUGCAUGAUGCAAGCAGGAAGGGAACGUCGCAGUCAACUUGCGACUCCGAGACGAGACAGAGGGGUUUAUUAAGAAAAUGGAACACGACGCGGAAGGUGUAAAAUACAAAGGACACAACAAAUGGGGAGAAAUAACGGAGAAAUGUCAUAAACCAAAAGGGAACAAGGCAACACCAGGAGCGAGAACAGGCAAGGGACCAGAGCAACAUGCAAGAACAUAGCAUGCCGUUGCUAACUAAGGAAGGGAACACAGCACAUCGUGGAGCCCCCAUCGGGACGACUUAAAGAGGGAAAAGUUGCAGAUGAGCUGAAGGAGGGAUUCCCUGACCAGCUGAGGCGAAUCCCUCAAGUGACUGUAUUUCAGCAGAAAUUAAACUUGAGAGCGGAAUAAGCAGCAGCCUGGACCGGAGGAGCCUCUGAGACACCGUGAUUGAAACCGCGUCUACAGACAGUCUGACAUCAACUCCACACUUAAGCGCUUAUGCAGAAUUUUUCGCCACACCAUCCUCAGGAGCGGAAAAAACAGUUUUAUCUGGCUUUAACCAAUGAGGGGGGAAAAACAGACCUCACUGAAGCAGGACCACCAGGCUUCACCGCUGAAGUUGUACAUCUGGAAUUAACAGAGGCAUUAUGACCAGACCCUUCUGCUGUGGCUCACAGUGGCCAGUGAGAAAUUCUACUCAUAGUGACCCCUUUGGUCUAGAAUGCAGCAGAACCCCUGUUCUUAUACACAUCAGCACCGCGUCCGCCUGAGAUGCUGCUUUCGUGCUUUAGGGUUACGCUCCAGUGACUGGUGCCAUGGGGCCUUCUGAACGUGGUGAUGAGGAAAGUCCGAAAACUCAGGAAUCGCACCGGGAAAGAUGAAGGAGAAGACCGACAAGCGUCAAAUAGCUGACGUCUGCCUCUUUCAUACUGACAGGCCUUUAAAAAGCGGACAGCUGUUUGAAUCGAAUAGGAGAGGACUACUGUGAUCCAAGCAAGAAGGCUCAACCCAGCCGAUCUCAGAGGGAUGGUGCGUGAUGGGGACGAGGCAGCACUUCACAAAGGGCACCUGCUGUGCCACGAGUUCCAAGAGGACAGCCGAUUGUUACAGAGUAUAUAGUGUUGCUGGGACAUCCUUAUAAAUCAUAUAUCUGAU